UACAGAGGUGGCAAGCGUUGUUCGGAAUUACUGGGCGUAAAGGGCGCGUAGGCGGCCUUCUAAGUCAGACGUGAAAUCCCCCGGCUUAACCUGGGAACUGCGUCUGAUACUGGGAGGCUUGAGUAUGGGAGAGGGAUGUAGAAUUCCAGGUGUAGCGGUGAAAUGCGUAGAUAUCGGAAGGAACAUCAGUGGCGAAGGCGACUUCCUGGACCAAUACUGACGCUCAGGUGCGAAAGCGUGGGGAGCAAACAGG
rnacentral:rRNA from 1 species